UACGAAGGGGGCUAGCGUUGUUCGGAAUCACUGGGCGUAAAGGGUGCGUAGGCGGAUCAAUCAGUCAGGGGUGAAAUCCCGAGGCUCAACCUCGGAACUGCCUUUGAUACUGUUGAUCUUGAGUCCGGAAGAGGUGAGUGGAACUGCGAGUGUAGAGGUGAAAUUCGUAGAUAUUCGCAAGAACACCGGUGGCGAAGGCGGCUCUCUGGCCUGUAACUGACGCUGAGGCGCGAAAGCGUGGGGAGCAAACAGG
rnacentral:rRNA from 1 species